UCAUUCGCUGCUACACAGGGAGUUUGGGGCCAGCCUGAGAUACAUGAGACCCUGUCUCAAAAGCUAACAAUGUAGAAACUAAAAUUAGAACAAAACAGAGAAGAUUAGAAUGGCCUCCGUGUAAGAGAACACAUGAAAAUUUGUAAAGCAUUCCAUAUUUUU
rnacentral:snRNA from 1 species